UCUGUUUACACAUACGCUCUCAUACAUGCAUACAUACAGACACCCAGCUCUCCCUGCUCAUAAAAGGACACAGGCAGCCUUGGACUCUGAGAGAUUGUGAAGAUGGAUGAGUGGGGCCCAGCUUGGAGAGAUCAGUCCCUGGAGGAGGAUUGUGUGUCCAUUUUACAGCUGGAGAAGCCGAGAUCCAGAAAGGACCCCCAAGUUGUGGGCAGAAUAAAUCUACAGCAGCUUUUAAC
rnacentral:lncRNA from 10 species